AUAUAAGAUGGAUAUCUAUGCACUUUUAUAAGGAAACAGACGUAGUCUGAUUAUAUCACCGUGUCUGUUUUUGUGCAAUAUAAAAAGAACCUGAGUAAUUUUACCAGGUUCUUUCUUAA
rnacentral:ncRNA from 14 species